rfam:Picea glauca, whole genome shotgun sequence.
ACAUGCAUACAACUUAGUGUUAAUGCAUUGGAUCCCAUUAGAACUUCGCAGUUAAGCACGCUCAAGAUAGAGUAGUAUUGGGAUGGGUGACCGCCCAGGAAGUUAUAGUAUUUUACAUGCC